rnacentral:lncRNA from 1 species
GGGUGGGGGGGGGGUUAGUGAAAGGGAAAAUGCUGGCUGGUUCAGGGAGUCAAACCCAGCACCCCCCCCCCCGGGGGGGGGGGGAGAGGGUGGGGGGAAGGGAAGCCAGGCUCUUCCAUGGCUGUCGCCUGGCAGGCUGCGGCUGUGACAGGUGUGUAGCUCAGAGCCCAGACUGAUGGCAGUAAGGACGGGAGGCUGCAGUCAUCACUCAGUGGUCUGAUAAUUGGAUAUUUUUAUAAUGACAAAUUACAGCUGUUUCUCUUGUCAUCAGUGUAAAACAUUUCCGAAGCAGUGAUUUCCC